GCCCACAUGGUAUAGUGGUUUGGACAUUCAACUAUUACUCUAGAGACAAGGGUUCAAAUCCCCAUUCAGCA